rnacentral:rRNA from 1 species
UAGGGAAUCUUCCGCAAUGGGCGAAAGCCUGACGGAGCAACGCCGCGUGAGUGAUGAAGGUCUUCGGACCGUAAAACUCUGUUAUUAGGGAAGAACAAACGUGUAAGUAACUAUGCACGUCUUGACGGUACCUAAUCAGAAAGCCACGGCUAACUACGUGCCAGCAGCCGCGGUAAUACGUAGGUGGCAAGCGUUAUCCGGAAUUAUUGGGCGUAAAGCGCGCGUAGGCGGUGUUUUAAGUCUGAUGUGAAAGCCCACGGCUCAACCGUGGAGGGUCAUUGGAAACUGGAAAGCUUGAGUGCAGAAGAGGAAAGUGGAAUUCCAUGUGUAGCGGUGAAAUGCGCAGAGAUAUGGAGAAGCACCAGUGGGGAAGGCGACUUUCUGGAAUGUAACUGACGCUAAUGUGCGAAAGCGUGGGGAUCAAACAGG